ensembl:misc_RNA Metazoa_SRP Metazoan signal recognition particle RNA
GCCUGGUGCGGUGGCGCAUGCCUGUAGUCCCAGCUACUCGGGAGGCUGAGGCUGGAGGAUCGCUUGAGCCCAGGAGUUCUAGGCUGUAGUGCGCUAUGCCGAUCUGGUGUCCACACUAAGUUCGACAUCAAUAUGGUGAACUCCUGGGACCGGGGACCACCAGGUUGCCUGAGGGGUAAACCGGCCCAGGUCGGAAACAGAGCAGGUCAAAACUCCUGUGCUAAUCAGUAGUGGGAUCAUGCCUGUGACUAGCCACUGCACUCCAGCCUGGGCAACAUAGCGAGACCCCAUCUCUU